CAAGGGACCUGUGAACAGGUGCUGCAUGGCUGUCGUCAGCUCGUGCCGUGAGGUGUUGGGUUAAGCCCCGCAACGAGCGCAACCCCUACUGCCAGUUACCAACACGUUAUGGUGGGGACUCUGGCGGAACUGCCGGUGACAAACCGGAGGAAGGUGGGGAUGACGUCAAGUCCUCAUGGCCCUUAUGUCCAGGGCUACACACGUGCUACAAUGGUCGGUACAGAGUGACGCGAAGCCGCGAGGUGGAGCAAAUCGCAGAAAGCCGGCCUUAGUUCGGAUUGGAGUCUGAAACUCGACUCCAUGAAGGUGGAAUCGCUAGUAAUCGCGCAUCAGCAUGGCGCGGUGAAUACGUUCCCGGGCCUU
rnacentral:rRNA from 1 species